CCUACGGGGGGCUGCAGUAAGGAAUAUUGGUCAAUGGACGCAAGUCUGAACCAGCCAUGCCGCGUGGAGGAUGAAGGUCCUCUGGAUUGUAAACUUCUUUUAUUUGGGAAGAAACUCCCGAUUUCCAUCGGGAUUGACGGUACCAGAUGAAUCAGCACCGGCUAACUCCGUGCCAGCAGCCGCGGUAAUACGGAGUGUGCAGGCGUUAUCCGGAGUAAAGGGGGCGUAGGGGGGCGUAGAUGGGCGGGGUGAAAUCUCCGGGCUUAACCCGGAAACUGCCAUUGAUACUAUUUGUCUUGAAUACUCUGGAGGUGAGCGGAAUAUGUCAUGUAGCGGUGAAAUGCUUAGAUAUGACAUAGAACACCCAUUGCGAAGGCAGCUCACUACGGAAAUAUUGACGCUGAGGCACGAAAGCGUGGGGAUCAAACAGGAUUAGAUACCCGAGUAGUC
rnacentral:rRNA from 1 species